CUCAGAAUGAACGCUGGCGGCAUGCCUUACACAUGCAAGUCGAACGGCAGCACGGGAGCUUGCUCCUGGUGGCGAGUAGCGAACGGGUGAGUAAUACAUCGGAACGUACCCUGAAGUGGGGGAUAACGUAGCGAAAGUUACGCUAAUACCGCAUAUUCUGUGAGCAGGAAAGAGGGGGGAUCGCAAGACCUCUUGCUUUAGGAGCGGCCGAUGUCGGAUUAGCUAGUUGGUGAGGUAAAGGCUCACCAAGGCGACGAUCCGUAGCGGGUCUGAGAGGAUGAUCCGCCACACUGGGACUGAGACACGGCCCAGACUCCUACGGGAGGCAGCAGUGGGGAAUUUUGGACAAUGGGCGCAAGCCUGAUCCAGCCAUGCCGCGUGAGUGAAGAAGGCCUUCGGGUUGUAAAGCUCUUUCGGUGGGGAAGAAAUUGCACAGGAUAAUACCUUGUGUAGAUGACGGUACCCGCAUAAGAAGCACCGGCUAACUACGUG
rnacentral:rRNA from 1 species